GAUGAACGCUGGCGGCGUGCCUAAUACAUGCCAGUCGAGCGAACAGAUGAGGAGCUUGCUCCUCUGACGUUAGCGGCGGACGGGUGAGUAACACGUGGAUAACCUACCUAUAAGACUGGGAUAACUUCGGGAAACCGGAGCUAAUACCGGAUAAUAUAUUGAACCGCAUGGUUCAAUAGUGAAAGACGGUUUUGCUGUCACUUAUAGAUGGAUCCGCGCCGCAUUAGCUAGUUGGUAAGGUAACGGCUUACCAAGGCAACGAUGCGUAGCCGACCGGAGAGGGUGGUCGGCCACCCUGGAACUGAGACACGGUCCACACUCCUACGGGAAGCAACAGUAGGGAAUCUUCCGCAAGGGGCGAAAGCGUGACGGAGCAACGCCGCCGGAGUGAUGAAGGUCUUCGGAUCGUAAAACUCUGUUAUUAGGGAAGAACAAAUGUGUAAGUAACUAUGCACGUCUUGACGGUACCUAAUCAGAAAGCCACGGCUAACUACGUG
rnacentral:rRNA from 1 species